AAAUACGCAUAUUUCCACGUUGUAUACCAGGUGUUAGCUGGAUAAUUUAUCUGACAGUGUCAAGGUAACGUUUUAACAGACGGACGAGAUAUGGGAAAACAUUCACUUAAACUGUGGAAUGUCUUGUUUGCUAGCAGCAGACAUGGUGGCCCAUCUUCAAAAAGUUACCAGAUGGGAGCCUUGUCCUGAAAGACAACAGCUACUACAAAUGCACCAUUGAGAGCAUCCAGUCUGGCUGCAUCACCACCUGUAAAGGCAGCUGCACUGUCCCCUGGAAGAUCACCAAGGACUUCAGCCAUUGCCUGUUCUCGCCGCUUCCGUCUGGCAGACUAUAACGGAGCAUCCACCACCAGGCCAUGAGACAGUGGAAAAGCCUGGCUAUCCACCUGCACCUUAAGAGACUAUUUCUACUGACUCUCUGUAGCAGUAUUGCUUCCAUCCCUCUCCUUGCCCCAACCUGGGCUUGAGUCAGGGACCCUCUGAACAGAUCGACAACUUGUCACCCACAAAGCAUCGUUAUCUAUCACUCCACAAAAGCUGUGGCUCCACACCCUGUGCCCAGCUGGGCCUCUGUUCAUGAUCUCCACACCUGUGCCUGACUGGGCCUGUCUUUGACCUCCACACCUAUGCUCGGUUGUCCCUCAGUCACCCCAUCCUCUGCUCUACUCCAGUUGCUCUCCAUUUUCAGUAAAUUAUAUAUAAUUGUAAUUAUUUGAUUUAAAUUGUUUGUCCCUCUGUGGUGUUUAUUUAACUGUAUAUACAGCAUAAUUUUUCAUUGAUGUAUUACUCAACAGUAUGCCCCCCUUCCUCUUAAUUCACUCUGAGCAAAAAAGCCCUUUGCUGAAUUCUCUAAUUACAUUUUGAUCAAUUAAUGUCCGUUUUUGAAUGCUCCAUUGUAUAAACUAUUUAAGUGUCCUGCUUGUGUGCUAUGUGCACUGAUUUCAAACAAUUAUUGUAUAUUUGUCAUUCUCAUGUCUUCCUCCAAUUCUGUCUUCAAUUGAUUUACAAUCAAAACAACUUAUCUAACAUUAGGUUUUUAGAUGUGAACUUGAUAUUAAAUGUAUAGAUUAAGCCAUUUAUCUUAUUUGAGAUAAACAAGAUUUAACCCCU